UACGAAGGGGGCUAGCGUUGUUCGGAUUUACUGGGCGUAAAGCGCACGUAGGCGGAUCUUUAAGUCAGGUGUGAAAUCUCGGGGCUCAACCCUGAAACUGCACUUGAUACUGCCUUGCUUGAGUACUGGAGAGGAGAUUGGAAUUUACGGUGUAGCAGUGAAAUGCGUAGAUAUCGUAAGGAAGACCAGUGGCGAAGGCGAAUCUCUGGACAGUUACUGACACUGAGGCACGAAGGCCAGGGGAGCAAACGGG
rnacentral:rRNA from 1 species